rnacentral:rRNA from 1 species
CCUACGGGAGGCAGCAGUGGGGAAUAUUGCACAAUGGGGGAAACCCUGAUGCAGCGACGCCGCGUGAGUGAAGAAGUAAUUCGUUAUGUAAAGCCCUGUCAGCCGGGAAGAAAAUGACGGUACUUGAGUACGAAGCCCCGGCUAACUACGUGCCAGCAGCCGCGGCAAUACGGAGGGGGCAAGCGUUAUCCGGAUUUACUGGGUGUAAAGGGGGCGUAGACGGCAGUGCAGGUCUGGAGUGAAAGGCGGGGGCGCAACCCCCGGACUGCUCUUGAAACUGUACGGCUGGAGUGCAGGAGAGGUAAGUGGAAUUCCUAGUGUAGCGGUGAAAUGCGUAGAUAUUAGGAGGAACACCAGUGGCGAAGGCGGCUUACUGGACUGUAACUGACGUUGAGGCUCGAAAGCGUGGGGAGCAAACAGGAUUAGAUACCCUAGUAGUC